GUGCCAGCAGCCGCGGUAAUACGUAGGGUGCAAGCGUUAAUCGGAAUUACUGGGCGUAAAGCGUGCGCAGGCGGUUUUGUAAGACAGUGGUGAAAUCCCCGGGCUCAACCUGGGAGCUGCCACUGUGACUGCAAGGCUAGAGUGCGGCAGAGGGGGAUGGAAUUCCGCGUGUAGCAGUGAAAUGCGUAGAUAUGCGGAGGAACACCGAUGGCGAAGGCAAUCCCCUGGGCCUGCACUGACGCUCAUGCACGAAAGCGUGGGGAGCAAACAGGAUUAGAUACCCCCGUAGUCC
rnacentral:rRNA from 1 species